UACAGAGGCCUCGAGCGUUUAGGCGGAAUCACUGGGCUUAAAGCGUGUGUAGGCGGACUUCUAAGUACCUUGUGAAAUCCCACGGCUCACCCGUGGAACUGCUCGGUAUACUGGUCGUCUUGAGCCUUCUAGGGGGCGAGUGGAACAAAUGGUGGAGCGGUGAAAAUGCGUAGAUAUCAUUUGGAACGCCAAUGGUGAAAACAACUCGCUGGGGAAGUGCUGACGCUGAGACACGAAAGCCAGGGGAGCGAACGGG
rnacentral:rRNA from 1 species